ACCAGAGAUGACACUUGAUAAGCUUAUGGAGUAUGGAAACAUGCUUGUGAUGGAACAAGAGAACGUCAAGAGAGUCCAACUUGCUGACCAAUACCUUAACGAGGCUGCGUUGGGAGACGCAAACGCGGACGCUAUCGGCCGCGGAACUUUCUACGGUUAGAGCUCGAGGUUUGAAACUUCUUAAUUUGUUUAUUGAAUCAGUUGGAUAUAAAUGAAACUGUAAAAAAGUAGGAAGGUGAGAGGGAGAGAGGGAAAGAGAGAGACUGGAAUUAGGGUUUCUGAAAUUUUGAAGUGUAACUUGCCUUGCAGGAAAAGCAGCACAGCAAGUGAACCUUCCUGUGCCAGAAGGGUGUACUGAUCCUGCGGCUAAGAACUUUGAUCCAACGGCUAGAAGUGAUGAUGGAACUUGUGUCUACACCUUUUGAGCUUUCUCCUAAUUAUUAUUAAUUUGUACUCUCUUUUUUGCCUUUUG
rnacentral:lncRNA from 1 species